UGUGUGUGUGUGUGCGUGUGUGUGUGUUGGGGGGGAUGUGCCAUCAGCCCUACCCCAUUCUGCUUAGAGGCCAGGACACUUGGAGAAGUGCCCAGGGCCUCAGACCCCAGCCUCCCUUUCCUGCUCUCCAGACCAGCCCAAACAGGACAGGUCACCCACCACCUUAGCCCCAAUCCCACCCACACCCCCUCUCCCGGCCCACGUCCACCUGUGUCCUCUGGGACGGGGCAGAGCUGUGGCCACCUCGGUAUUUCCUCCUGGGCGGCCAGGGUUCCUGCUGGACUUCGUCUCCUGCCCCGUCAGCCAUUAAAGGUUUCACCUCUGCUGCUGCCGUCACCAUGGGCUUCGGGCAGAUGAAGGUCACGACAGCCACCUGAGAGCCGCCAGGCUGGGGUGGGGGUGGGUCCUCCUGACCUGCCCAGGACAGAAGUGGAGGAGGUGGAGGUUGGAGGUGUCACCUGGCUAAGCAGCGGGGACUUGUGUGGCUCCAGCACCUCAGGCACCUCAGCCCUGGUGAGCGGUGUGCCCCCAGGGGAGUGUAUUGUGGUCAGUGAUGGACACGUGAACUGAAGGGGGGCAAAGGUUGAUGUCAAGAACAGGUACACGCGUCGUUGACAAAUCCCAAUGUGUUUGUAUUUGUGUUUGAUCACUCGGGAAAGGUACAUUAAAGCCUGAUGAAUUUUAA